UGUGAAACUCUAAUGCUGCUUUGAAGCCC
rnacentral:piRNA from 1 species